GCGGGGGUUGCCGAGCCCGGCCAAAGGCGCUAGGUUGAGGGCCUAGUUCCGUAGGGAUACGCGAGUUCGAAUCUCGUCCCCCGCACCA
rnacentral:tRNA from 1 species